GAUUUUCAGUUCUAAAAUUUCCUUUUGGUUCUUGUUUUAUAGUUAUCACUUCUAUGACUUAUCCACACAUAUAGUUUUUUGAUACUUUGAUGCUGGAUUCAAAGGAGGAUUUCUCUUGCAGGUGUCUGCUUAAUCUUUGUUAGGACAAAAUGAUGCCUUCCAAGUUACUUACAUGCUGGACUGGAAAUAUAGAACAAUUUAGAGGGAAAGAGUGGAAGAGAAGACAGUGAAAUGAAAAAGUGAUACAUUUGGACUUGCCUGGUGAUCCAGUGGUUAAGAAUCUGCCUUCCAAUGCAGGGGAUAUGGGUUUCAUCCCUGAUCAAAGAACUAAGAUCCCACAUGUGACUAAGCCUCAACUACUGAGCCCAG
ensembl:lncRNA